GGUGCUAAACUAAUAGAACCGACAAUUUGCUGUAAUGGGUAUCGUUUUCUAUAUCCAAGUUGAAUUGGUUGAUUUUUCGAUGGAUUUGUUUGUGGCAGUGAUGAUUUAUGCAGGUUGAUGUCUCCUUGGUGGAUUUGGUUGUAGUGGUUUUUGUUUUUUGCAGUUUUCCCAACAACGCCAUUGCUGAUUUGGUCAUCAUCCCUCCAAGUUGUUUAAUUGAUUAGAUCUUCAUCCGGCCAACAAAACUGUUCUUACUUCUUUAUCACAUGCUCACAUCCGUCUACAACUUCAUCGACAAGUUUUCUACAACUGAACUUUUCAAUCAUCUAUUGAAGCUGGUACUUUGUUGGAGAGAGUAGACGCGUUUGAUGUGAAUGGGAACUCGGGUUUGAUUUCUAAUUUGUGGACGGAUCAGAAGGCCGGUGUUUCAUUUGCACAUCUUUAUGGUUACAAAUGGGGAGCGACUUGAAGAGAUCAGUUGAUGUGUAUGUAUUUCGAAAUGGGGAGUGAUUUGAAGACCUGGGUAUUAGAUAAGUUGAUGCCCGUCUUGGGAUAUUCGCAACCCGCCUUGGUUCAACAUGUGUUUACUUUAUCUAAGAAAGCUUCAUCUCCUGAUGAUGUAUAUAAUAAUCUUAAAGACAUGGGGGGUGUCAUCUUCUAACAACACACGCAUUUGGUGAAGAAAUAUUCCAGAAGGUUGAAUAUAAGAGAUCUGAAUCAAAUUUGUUACAGUGAUUGACUUCCUGACAAAGAACCGGAGGAGUUAUAGCAUCAUCUAAAGAAAAAAAAAAGAUGCCGCCAGGAUGAUAAAAGUCUACUUUUAGUGAUCAUCGUUUAAUCAAUCUAAUUUUAAUAUGAAUUGAUUUUUGGUUUUUCAAGAAUUUAUGAAUUGAUUCCAAUUAUGAUUCCCUAAUCCUAUUUAAUAUGAAUUUAAUGUUUGGUUAUU
rnacentral:lncRNA from 1 species